rnacentral:piRNA from 1 species
UGAGCUAUGCGGGAAUGCAUGGGCGACC